ACAGGGCAUCACAGGUAAUACACACAAGCGGUAACUGCACUUCAGACACUUAGACUUGUAAAGUAACAGUACAGAUGGUCCUCAACUUACGAUGGUUCAACUUCACAAUUUUUCCAUAAUGGUGAGAAAGCAGUAUGUAUUCAGUAGAAAGUGGUACAAUCCUCUCAUGAUGCUGGGCGGCAGUGGAGCCACGUGAUCACGAGGGCAAACUGGUAACUCUACAGCGUACUGUAUUGCCAGAUGAUUUUGCACAACUGUGGGCUAAUGGAAAGUAUUCUGAGCAAGUUUAAGCAAAUUAAACCACGUAAUUCCUGAAAAGGCAUGGAGAGGAUUCCAAGAAAUAUUUGAAAACAUCUGCAAAAAACAACUAUGACAACCAUACAAAUAAAUGAAUUCCAUUCAAGUUA